CGGAACUUAACUCAGUUCGGUAGAGUGCCGUUCUUAUAAAGCGGUGGUCGCUGGUUCAAAUCCAGUAGUUCCGA
rnacentral:tRNA from 1 species